rnacentral:misc_RNA from 1 species
GAACGCAAAUUGCACUUUCUGGUAUUCCGGAAAGUAUGCCUGUUUGAGGGUCAGUUAAAUAAAAAUCGGCUUUGUUGCUGCCUUUCGUGGUGACGCGUCGGAAUUGGGUCAUCUUACCUUCGGCUAAGUGACUUAAAAUUUUGUAUGAUUUUCGAACGUAUUUAAAUUGCUUACGUACGUUUGAGAUAUCGAAUAUAUUAGGUUCGGUCAUCUUCAUGACUCGCGCCUAUAAUUUUUCAUUAAAUGACCUCAAAUCAGGUAAGAAUACCCGCUGAACUUAAG